rnacentral:rRNA from 1 species
AUUGAACGCUGGCGGCAUGCCUUACACAUGCAAGUCGAACGGCAGCACGGGGGCAACCCUGGUGGCGAGUGGCGAACGGGUGAGUAAUGCAUCGGAACGUGUCCUCUUGUGGGGGAUAACCAGUCGAAAGACUGGCUAAUACCGCAUGAGAUCGAAAGAUGAAAGCGGGGAGCCGCAAGGCCUCGCGCGAGAGGAGCGGCCGAUGCCGGAUUAGCUAGUUGGUGGGGUAAUGGCCCACCAAGGCGACGAUCCGUAGCUGGUCUGAGAGGACGACCAGCCACACUGGGGAACUGAGACACGGGCCCCAGACUCCUACGGGAGGCAGCAGUGGGGAAUUUUGGACAAUGGGCGCAAGCCUGAUCCAGCCAUGCCGCGUGUGUGAAGAAGGCCUCGGGUUGUAAAGCACUUUCGGACGGAACGAAAUCGCGCGCAUGAACAAUGCGCGUGGAUGACGGUACCGUAAGAAGAAGCACCGGCUAACUACGUGCCAGCAGCCGCGGUAAUACGUAGGGUGCAAGCGUUAAUCGGAAUUACUGGGCGUAAA